GUUGAACUCCACAGUUGCUCGAAACUGAUUGUUAUUGAGUUGCAAAGACUUGUAGGUUGGUGUUGCAUAUCCUGCUCGAUUCAGCAAUGUCUGUAGCUGAGACUUAGCGUUGUCACCUCCUGGACCACUUUCUAUCCUUGACGUUGGAGCUGGUGUUGGUGCUCCAGCACAUGGCUUAGAAGGAAGUAAAAUCUGAUGACUAAAAACGAA
rnacentral:misc_RNA from 1 species